GAAUCUUGGACAAUGGGCGCAAGCCUGAUCCAGCCAUGCCGCGUGAGUGAAGAAGGCCUUAGGGUUGUAAAGCUCUUUUGGCAGGGACGAUAAUGACGGUACCUGCAGAAUAAGCCCCGGCAAACUUCGUGCCAGCAGCCGCGGUAAUACGAAGGGGGCUAGCGUUGUUCGGAUUUACUGGGCGUAAAGCGCACGUAGGCGGAUUGUUAAGUCAGGGGUGAAAUCCCGAGGCUCAACCUCGGAACUGCCUUUGAUACUGGCAAUCUUGAGGCUGGAAGAGGUUGGUAGAAUUCCCAGUGUAGAGGUGAAAUUCGUAGAUAUUGGGAAGAAUACCAGUGGCGAAGGCGGCCAACUGGUCCAGAUCUGACGCUGAGGUGCGAAAGCGUGGGGAGCAAACAGG
rnacentral:rRNA from 1 species